GCCAGUGUGGUGGUGUGAUUUUGAGCGCUGGACUAUGAAUCUGGAGACCAGGGUUCGAAUCCCUACUCUGCCA